AAGCAAGAGAUCAAAAGGAACAUAGGAAAACGAGUUCAUCAUCAUGUCUUUUCUUUUUCUUUUUCCCUCUUUUUCAAAGUUCUUUCU
rnacentral:ribozyme from 1 species